UUGGACGCUGGCGGCAUGCUUUACACAUACAAGUCGAACGGUAACAGGUCUUCGGAUGCUGACGAGUGGCGAACGGGUGAGUAAUGCAUCGGAACGUGCCCAGUCGUGGGGGAUAACGCAGCGAAAGCUGUGCUAAUACCGCAUACGAUCUAUGGAUGAAAGCGGGGGAUCGCAAGACCUCGCGCGAUAGGAGCGGCCGAUGUCGGAUUAGCUAGUUGGUGGGGUAAAGGCCUACCAAGGCGACGAUCCGUAGCUGGUCUGAGAGGAUGAUCAGCCACACUGGGACUGAGACACGGCCCAGACUCCUACGGGAGGCAGCAGUGGGGAAUUUUGGACAAUGGGCGCAAGCCUGAUCCAGCCAUGCCGCGUGAGUGAAGAAGGCCUUCGGGUUGUAAAGCUCUUUCAGACGGAAAGAAAUCGGGCGCGUGAAUAGCGUGCCUGGAUGACGGUACUGUCAGAAGAAGCACCGGCUAACUACGU
rnacentral:rRNA from 1 species